rnacentral:rRNA from 1 species
GACGAACGCUGGCGGCGUGCUUAACACAUGCAAGUCGAGCGGAAAGGCCCUUCGGGGUACUCGAGCGGCGAACGGGUGCGUAACACGUGAGUAACCUUCCCCAGACCUUGGCAUAACCCUCGGAAACGGGGGCUAAUACCGGAUACGACACAGCUUCGCAUGGGGUCUGUGUGGAAAGUUUUUCGGUUUGGGUUGGGCUCGCGGCCUAUCAGCUUGUUGGUGGGGUGAUGGCCUACCAAGGCGACGACGGGUAGCCGGCCUGAGAGGGCGACCGGCGACACUGGGACUGGGACACGGCCCAGACUCCUACGGGAGGCAGCAGUGGGGAAUAUUGCACAAUGGGCGGAAGCCUGAUGCAGCGACGCCGCGUGAGGGAUGACGGCCUUCGGGUUGUAAACCUCUUUCAGCAGGGACGAAGCGUAAGUGACGGUACCUGCAGAAGAAGCGCCGGCCAACUACGUG